CUCGAUUGCCUCAAAAAUUUUCAUUGAACCACAGUAGAAACAUUUUUGCUAUCCCCGAAACACGCAGACAGGAAAAAUAUAAUCUUUCCACUAACAAAAGCAUCAUUAGCUCGUAAUCAUCAAGCAUCAAUUCCAAUCAGCUUAAUUAACAAAACUCAUGGACAACUAAUCACCAAACUGACAAUUACACAGCUCCAAAACAAACCCAGAUCCAAAAAAUUCACCACAGAUAAACUACUUGGUACUUACCACAUCUCUCCGCACAAAAGCAGUAAGACAAUUGCUAUUUGCUAGAAUGAAAUUACUUGUGACAAUCUUCC
rnacentral:lncRNA from 1 species